ACCAGUCUAUUCCGAUAGGUGACGGUAAAUACACCAUAACGUUAUCUGAGUACCACCUCAGUUCAAAGAAGAAGAGGCACUAGAAGAGAACGCGCAUGCGCAAAACGUGCAUUAUUCUUGUGGCUGUGCGUGGAGAAAGAUGUUUAGUGAUCGACGUAACGUCAGACUGAAAUAUUGCAGUCCGGCACGUGCGUGGAGGUGAAAAGAUGGACGAAAAAAGUAAGGUUAAUUCUUACUUCAUCUUGGUGACCAGAGGCAUCGUCAUGUUUCAUAAGAAAUCUGUGAUGGUUAAAGCUCUCUAAAGUCUGUAUUGGAUCAGAUUAGCCCAGUAAGGUCUCCAUAUCCUGGGCCACUGAUUCACUGGGAUUCUCGGAGGUCAAGAUCCAUUAGUGAGGUGCUGGAUUCGUGAGAAGACGCAAGACUGAAGCUGUAAAUUCAGUUUGUGGUGCAGGAGGCUAUAUGUAGUAUGAUGGUGGACAUUUUUGGUCUAUAUACAUUCUGCUGCUCUUGUCAAUGUUUAUGAAAUUGCCCAUUAAAGAAAUAUUAAAGCAUG